GCUAGUCACUUCUGAACUCUCUCAACUCUCUCUCUCCAUCGAAGAACAAGGAGAUCAAAAGUCUCAUCUCCACAUCAAGUAAUUUGGAUCAAGUGGUUUUACAUUUCGCUAACCCUAUCAUCUUCAGAUUCCAGCUUAUGGGUCCAAGGAAAAGGCUUCCUAAAGAAGAGGAAGUUAAAAGUUUUAAUGACAGCAUUGACAGGUGAAUUAUAAAUUUGUAAUUGAGUGCAGUUAAUUUCUUUACAACCCCUAAAUUUGCGUGCGUUCAGUUUUACCGUUUUUGUGGUUUGUAUCAGGUAUAUUCACCCUCCAAAGUUUAGGGCUAGAAAUGUGAAAAUAACAAUUUACUCAAGCUUACUCCAAUUAGCCGAAGUACGGGACUGUCUGUCCGUUGAUGAGCAAGCAAUAUUUAGUCGCACCGCAAUUGUCCAUCUACUUUCAGUGCCAGCAGAUUCAAAGUUCAGUGGCACCAUUUUGCAUUUCUUACUUUCGAGGAAAAUUCACGUGGAUGAUAAACCAGAUGAAAUGCACUUUAAGGUUGGUGCAAAAAUAUUGCAUUUUGGCAAGAGAGAAUUUGCUCUGGUAACAGGGCUUAGUUUCAAGAAACCGGAGAAAGGUUUUGUAUCUCCUCCCAAAUCCUCAUCCCUGAUGUGGACCCAUUUCCCCAACCAAUAUCGUGUAACUGGAUUAGAAGUGAAGGCUCUCCUCUUCAAAAAGAACUCUACUUUCCCAUCUCUAGACAGGGUGAAGUUGGCGUUACUUUUGGUUGUGCAUCGCUUCUUAAUGGGCUGUCCAGAUAGAGAUGCCACAAAUAUCAGUUACUGUCAUUUAGUUGACGACUGGAGGAUUUAACAAAUACCCUUGGGGCGAAGUAACAUUUGGUAGAAUUACAAAAUUUAGAUCACUACUACUUUAUCAACCCAACAAAGAGAACAGUGGUGCUGGUGGGGAAACGAAGUACAAGGUUGCCAGAAUCGCACAUGCCUUGUCGGUUUGGGCUCUCAAUAUCAUGCCUGGGAUGCUUAAUCUGUGUGAGAGAAAGAUUAAAAGGCUAGGCUGGCUACACAUGCUUUGCGUAUCAUGCACGCGAUCUCCCAAGUAUCUCUCUCUUCGAACAUUGGAAGUGAAUGACGUUCAUGUCCGCUUAGAUAUAAUGUGGCAAAAGGGUGAUGCAAAUCAGUUAAUAGUGCUUGGCUUAGAGGAAGGUACCCCCGAGAUAGAGGUUGUGGAUGGCGAAAGUUUCUGUAAAUUAUUUUUGUCCCUAUUAAAAUCAGUAUAACUGAAACAAAAAUCGCAGUUAAGUUCUUUUAUCCAGACAGAGGAAGAAAGACACGAAUACCACGGGGUGACUCUUUCCUUGAGAGGGAAGAUUACAAUCAAGGCCAUGAAGUCCCAGAAACGGCUCCUGUCUCUCUGUCCAAAAAGAGAAAGAUAAGUACAAAAGAGUCGCGCCCUUAUAAUGGAAAUAGAAUUGGUAACUAUGAACCUGAACAUCUUCCUUCAUGACUAUACCUGCCAUCCCCAUCCAGGAACCCGUGGUGAGAGAGAAUGAGAAUGUCAUUGCCCACACUAGUGUGAAGGAUUCUCACUGCAAGGAUGUAGCCAAAGGGAAUAUGUCAUCUUGUUCUCAAGCGAAAACUACGGGAAGGGAAUCGCUUGAAGUGGUUGAGGAUCAUGUGGAUGCUACAAUGGAUACGGCCUCUUCUAAGGGCCUGACUCCUGAUUCUACCUUAUUAAAUAUUUCGACUUCCAUAGAUGUUAUUCCUUCCCCACCAGGGUUUAUAAGGGCUUCAGCUCCAGAGAGAGUGGAAGGAUUUCAAUCUGUGGACGACUUCAAGAUCCUAGAAGAGCAUUUAAUUUUGUAUAAAAAGAUUUAUGAAAAGCAUGGGCAUAUGGCGACUAAAAAAGUCAUCAAGUUCAAUGAUGAUAUGUUACUCACAUGUGUUACCAGCUUAUUAAAGAUCAUCCUGGCAAUGGAAAAUGUGCGAGGUUCAGAAUUGAGUGAAGCAUUGCUGGUUAGAUGGCAAGGGUUUAUCAAAGAUGCCGAGACUUUGGAAUUUAAUAUUGAGUGGCGUCGCGAAGGAUUCGAUCGACGUAAGAACCACUGGAGGUCUUCAUUCUGGAUAGAUAGAGAAGUUGAAAGCCAUUCUCAAGUAUUGGAUGCAAUGCAGGUAAAAUAUGAUUGCCUAUCUACAAGAGAAGACGAACUUGAAACUGAACUUUACCUCUAAACUGAACUUUCAGAGGUAAAAGUUCAGAAAAGUAAAGCUGAAGCGACGAUUUCAUCUGAGCGGGAAGCUAUUCAAGAAAAGGUGACUGAGAAAAACAAAUUACGGUGUGAACCUGUUUCUAGGAAUAGUGCUUAGCUAAAUUUUUAUACUUGCGCCAUGGUUAAUCAAUGAUGUACAGUCGUCUGUCUUGUAAAUGGGUGUAUGUAGUUUUUAGCAGGACCUAUUUUUUAAAAAGGCAGUGCCCAGACAAGCUUGGACACUUAAGUUGCGGUGCAAAUUUUUUUUAGCAUUGUCACUUGUUAACUUACUGCUACCAG